rnacentral:lncRNA from 1 species
GAGUCCAGUGACUUCACUAUGAUGGAGCCAUUGGAGGAAUUGGUGUCCUUUCCAUGCCGCACUACUGUAGCCAUUGUACAGCAGUCGUGAGGCCUGAACUUGCUCUGUUAGUGCAACCAUUGGGUCCAGACAAAUGGUGAUGGGCCAUCUGGGAAUUCACUCCCCGAUGCUCCACUUGUUGGGGUUGCUAAGCAGUGAUGAUUGUUCGCACG